UAUUGCACAAUGGGCGCAAGCCUGAUGCAGCAACGCCGCGUGAGGGAUGACGGCCUUCGGGUUGUAAACCUCUUUUAGUAGGGAAGAAGCGAAAGUGACGGUACCUGCAGAAAAAGCACCGGCUAACUACGUGCCAGCAGCCGCGGUAAUACGUAGGGUGCAAGCGUUGUCCGGAAUUAUUGGGCGUAAAGAGCUCGUAGGCGGCUUGUCGCGUCUGCCGUGAAAACCCAGGGCUCAACUCUGGGCGUGCGGUGGGUACGGGCAGGCUAGAGUGCGGUAGGGGAGAUUGGAAUUCCUGGUGUAGCGGUGGAAUGCGCAGAUAUCAGGAGGAACACCGAUGGCGAAGGCAGAUCUCUGGGCCGUAACUGACGCUGAGGAGCGAAAGCAUGGGGAGCGAACAGG
rnacentral:rRNA from 1 species